GACGAACGCUGGCGGCGUGCUUAACACAUGCAAGUCGAACGGAAAGGCCCUGCUUUUGUGGGGUGCUCGAGUGGCGAACGGGCGAGUAACACGUGAGUAACCUGCCCUUGACUUUGGGAUAACUUCAGGAAACUGGGGCUAAUACCGGAUAGGAGCUCCUGCUGCAUGGUGGGGGUUGGAAAGUUUCGGCGGUUGGGGAUGGACUCGCGGCUUAUCAGCUUGUUGGUGGGGUAGUGGCUUACCAAGGCUUUGACGGGUAGCCGGCCUGAGAGGGUGACCGGCCACAUUGGGACUGAGAUACGGCCCAGACUCCUACGGGAGGCCGCAGUGGGGAAUAUUGCACAAUGGGCGGAAGCCUGAUGCAGCAACGCCGCGUGCGGGAUGACGGCCUUCGGGUUGUAAACCGCUUUCGCCUGUGACGAAGCGUGAGUGACGGUAAUGGGUAAAGAAGCACCGGCUAACUACGUG
rnacentral:rRNA from 1 species